rnacentral:tRNA from 1 species
AUUUAAAUAGUUUAAUAAAAAUAUUGAUUUGUGGUGUCAAUGAUAUGAGAUUUUUCAUUUUAGAUC